UUUGAACUGGCAAUCUAGAGUGUGUCAGAGGGGGGUAGAAUUCCACGUGUAGCAGUGAAAUGCGUAGAGAUGUGGAGGAAUACCGAUGGCGAAGGCAGCCCCCUGGGAUAACACUGACGCUCAUGUACGAAAGCGUGGGUAGCAAACAGGAUUAGAUACCCUGGUAGUCCACGCCCUAAACGAUGUCAACUGGUUGUUGGGAGAGUGAAAUCUCUUAGUAACGAAGCUAACGCGUGAAGUUGACCGCCUGGGGAGUACGGUCGCAAGAUUAAAACUCAAAGGAAUUGACGGGGACCCGCACAAGCGGUGGAUGAUGUGGAUUAAUUCGAUGCAACGCGAAAAACCUUACCUACCCUUGACAUGUCCAGAAUCCUGCAGAGAUGUGGGAGUGCCCGAAAGGGAAUUGGAACACAGGUGCUGCAUGGCUGUCGUCAGCUCGUGUCGUGAGAUGUUGGGUUAAGUCCCGCAACGAGCGCAACCCUUAUCAUUAGUUGCUACGCAAGGGCACUCUAAUGAGACUGCCGGUGACAAACCGGAGGAAGGUGGGGAUGACGUCAAGUCCUCAUGGCCCUUAUGGGUAGGGCUUCACACGUCAUACAAUGGUCGGUACAGAGGGUUGCCAAGCCGCGAGGUGGAGCCAAUCCCAGAAAGCCGAUCGUAGUCCGGAUUGUUCUCUGCAACUCGAGAGCAUGAAGUCGGAAUCGCUAGUAAUCGCGGAUCAGCAUGUCGCGGUGAAUACGUUCCCGGGUCUUGUACACACCGCCCGUCACACCAUGGGAGUGGAAUCUGCCAGAAGUAGGUAGCCUAACCGCAAGGAGGGCGCUUACCA
rnacentral:rRNA from 1 species